rnacentral:rRNA from 1 species
UACGGAGGGUGCGAGCGUUGUCCGGAAUCACUGGGCGUAAAGGGCGCGUAGGCGGCCUGAUAAGUAGGGGGUGAAAUCCUGCGGCUCAACCGCAGGGCUGCCUUCUAAACUGUCAGGCUCGAGCACAGUAGAGGCAGGUGGAAUUCCCGGUGUAGCGGUGGAAUGCGUAGAGAUCGGGAAGAACAUCAGUGGCGAAGGCGGCCUGCUGGGCUGUUGCUGACGCUGAGGCGCGACAGCGUGGGG